AUGGGCUCUCGUGACAACUGGCACAAGUGCUGCAAGACAGGGGCAAGAGUAAGCCCUCCCACAAGAAGUGGAAGUAUGAGCUGGAGUGCCCCGCUGCCAACACCAAGAUUGGCCCCCGCUGCGUCCACACAGUCUGUGUGCAGGGACGUAACAAGAAAUACUGUACCUUGAGGCUGGAUGUGGGGAAUUUCUCCUGGGGCUCCAAGUGAUGUAGGUGCAAAACAAGGAUCAUCAAUGUUGUCUACAGUGUGUCCAAUAACAAACUGGUCCGUACCAAGAUGCUAUUGAAGAACUGCAUCGUGCUCAGUGACAGCACACUCUACUGACAGUGGUGAAAAUCCCACUAUACAUUGUCCCUGGGCUGCAAGAAGGGGGCCAAGCUGACUCCUGAGGAGGAAGAGAUUUUAAACAAAAAACAAUCUAAAAAAAUUUAGAAGAAAUAUGAUGAAAGGAAAAAGAAUGCCAAAAUCAGCAGUCUUCUGGAGGAGCAGUUCCAGCAGGGCAAGCAUCUGGCAUGUAUCACAUCAAGGCCAGAGCAGUGUGGCCCAGCAGAUGGCUAUGUGCUAGAGGCCUGGGAGUUGGAGUUUUAUCUUUGGAAAAUCAAGGCCCAGAAAGGCAAAUAA
rnacentral:lncRNA from 1 species